GAUGAACGCUGGCGGCGUGCCUAAUACAUGCAAGUCGAGCGAACUGACGAGAAGCUUGCUUCUCUGAUGUUAGCGGCGGACGGGUGAGUAACACGUGGAUAACCUACAUAUAAGACUGGGAUAACUUCGGGAAACCGGAGCUAAUACCGGAUAAUAUUUUGAACCGCAUGGUUCAAAAGUGAAAGACGGUCUUGCUGUCACUUAUAGAUGGAUCCGCGCUGCAUUAGCUAGUUGGUAAGGUAACGGCUUACCAAGGCAACGAUGCAUAGCCGACCUGAGAGGGUGAUCGGCCACACUGGAACUGGGACACGGUCCAGACCCCUACGGGAGGCAGCAGUAGGGAGUCUGCCGCAAUGGGCGAAAGCCUGACGGAGCAACGCCGCGUGAGUGAUGAAGGUCUGCGGAUCGUAAAACUCUGUUAUUAGGGAAGAACAUAUGUGUAAGUAACGGUGCACAUCUUGACGGUACUUAAUCAGAAAGCCACGGCUAACUACGUG
rnacentral:rRNA from 1 species